AAUUCCUCCACGGCUCUCCAUGAUGCAGACGUAAAUGGAAUAUUAUGUCUUCUCACCAAUACAAUACAAAACAAAAUUAUAGUGUUGCUAGCAUUCCCCCCAUCCCAGUUGCCAUCAACCUUUUCUCUUCUCUCUCUCUCUCCAACAACAGCCCACCACCUUGUCAACGUCCACGCCCCAGCCACUUUCCCCACCCACACCUCAAGACCCCGAUUCCCUAAGCCAAAACCCACCACCCCACCCCGAUUCUCUCUCUCUCUCUCUCUCUCUCUCUCAAAGAACAACCCAUACCCACAACCAACUCCCAGCAACAUCUCCCAAGAUCUUCCACCCGACUACACUACCCCAUGCCGUUUUUCUUUACAAGUUUUUAUUUUUUCAAACGUUAUGUUUUAAUAUUUUUAAGUUAAUUUCAAAAAGGUUUACAGGUUUUUUAAAAACCAAGAUAGACACAUGCGAUAUGUAAUGAAUUGAUCAGAGACAGCCGUAAAAGUUAAAUAUGGGGGUUGAAGCAUUUGCAACCUAUACGACCGAUGGUUCGCACCUGGUGCCCCCCCAACCACCAAAUGAAAGCUUCGUUUUACUGCAUAUAUCUAAUUAGCUAGCUGCUGGGUUGGGUUGGGUGCACAUGCAAAUGCGCAUAUGAUGGCAGUCUUAUAAAUACUGCCAUAAAACAAGUCCAGCUCUCCAUGCAUGAUCUUCACGAUAUGGAAGUAGCAGAAGAAAAAGUAGGAGAACGAAAGAGAAAUAUGCCAUUGCCAUCCAAAACUCAGAAAAGGAUUGGGCAGUAAUUUCAUGUGGAACACUCAUUUGAGCAAGAAUGCAUCACUAAUUUUAAUAGACGGAGGGCACCAUCUGCAGCCCCAUGAAGAAACCUCAACCACGAACCUUCACGAGGGGCCGUCGUGGGAGACGAGAGGGCAUGUAUGGCCUUCGUCAAUCACUUAUACACUUACACUUUCAAGCUUAAGGACGACAAUAUUAUAUAAUUUGUUUUCAUCAGAAUAUACAGGUUUUGGCGACCAAGUAUGUAUGUAUGAGUAAGAUCCCUCAGCUAGCUAUAGGGUGACUUCAUAAGCUCAUGCUAAGAACGCAUACCAAUUGAUACUUCAAUUAAAAUAGGUCAUUUUACAGAUUGUAUGAGAAAUAUUUCAUUUCCUUUUCUGGUUGUAACCAAAACAUUACAAGGGAUCGAUAUUUUCCUAAUUUGCGCAUUACCAUUACCAUUUGAGAAUCA